UACUGACGCUGAGGUACGAAAGUGUGGGGAGCAAACAGGAUUAGAUACCCUGGUAGUCCACACCGUAAACGAUGAAUGCCAGUCGUCGGGCAGUAUACUGUUCGGUGACACACCUAACGGAUUAAGCAUUCCGCCUGGGGAGUACGGUCGCAAGAUUAAAACUCAAAGGAAUU
rnacentral:rRNA from 1 species